rnacentral:rRNA from 1 species
UCGGGAAUUUUGCUCAAUGGGCGCAAGCCUGAAGCAGCAACGCCGCGUGAGGGAUGACGGCCUUCGGGUUGUAAACCUCUUUUCUCAGGGACGAUGAUGACGGUACCUGAGGAAUAAGCCACGGCUAACUACGUGCCAGCAGCCGCGGUAAUACGUAGGUGGCAAGCGUUGUCCGGAUUUACUGGGCGUAAAGAGCGCGCAGGCGGUCUUGUAAGUCGAAUGUGAAAGCCCCCGGCUCAACUGGGGAGGGUCAUUCGAUACUGCUCGACUUGAAGGCAGGAGAGGGAAGUGGAAUUCCGGGUGUAGUGGUGAAAUGCGUAGAUAUCCGGAGGAACACCAGUGGCGAAGGCGACUUCCUGGCCUGUUCUUGACGCUGAGGCGCGAAAGCUAGGGGAGCGA